GCUGCACCCGAUCCAGCAUCAGCAACGUGCACCAGAAACUUUUCCAAUUAAAUAUAAUUCAACGGAUAGAGCAAAACCAUAGUUAGUUAAUUCGGAUUCGGUAAAAAUUCGGUACGGCUAUAAUUCGGAUAAAAUUCAUUUUUUAAUUUUUAAAUUCGUUGAAAAAUACGGCUAAAAAAUGGAUUUAGUAAUUAUUCGGAUACGUGAUUUAUACGGAUAUUAUACGUUGACCAAUUAAAAAUUCGGAAUAAANCAAAAGCCCCGAUGAAUCCUAUUGUUCAUCUUCCACUUUUCUGGAGCCGGCCUCGGGCGAGGACAUGGAUCCGCCGCCGCGGCCCUCGCUCCUGGCGGCGGCAAGGGCGGCGGAGGACGACGACGACCCUAGCGGCGUCGACGCGAGCGGCGACGAGCGGCGAUGACGCGACCCUCGGCAGCAAGUCCGCGAUCGCGCGAUCGCGAUUUUUUGGGCGAAUAAUUCGCGAAUCGCAAAUAAUUCGCGAAUAAUGAUUUUUGAUGAAAAAACCGCGUAUUUUUUCGAAUUUUUCGAAAAAAUACGAAAUUCGUCGUUUAAUUCGCAUUUUGAAAAAUACGCGAAUAAUUCGCGUAUUAAUCGCGAAUUUACUAACAGUGGGCAAAACACUCUAAUUAACAACUUAAUUACGUCUAAUAUCGUUACGAUAAAUUGAAACCUAAAUAUAAAAAUAAAUCAUGCAAAAAUUAACGUGGUCCACCGUGAACCGGGUCUAGCCAGAUCCAAAAUAAUUCCAACUCCUCUCUUCUUCUUCCCAACUCAAACAAAGAAGCUCUCUCAUACCCCUC
rnacentral:lncRNA from 1 species